CCUACGGGAUGCAGCAGUGAGGAAUAUUGGUCAAUGGACGAGAGUCUGAACCAGCCAAGUAGCGUGAAGGAUGACUGCCCUAUGGGUUGUAAACUUCUUUUAUAUGGGAAUAAAAUGUUCCACGUGUGGGAUUUUGUAUGUACCAUAUGAAUAAGGAUCGGCUAACUCCGUGCCAGAAGCCGCGGUAAUACGGAGGUUCCGAGCGUUAUCCGGAUUUAUUGGGUUUAAAGGGAGCGUAGGUGGAUUGUUAAGUCUGUUGUGAAAGUUUGCGGCUAAACCGUAGAAUUGCAGUUGAAACUGGCAGUCUUGAGUACAGUAGAGGUGGGCGGAAUUCGUGGUGUAGCGGUGAAAUGCUUAGAUAUCACGAAGAACUCCGAUUGCGAAGGCAGCUCACUGGACUGCAACUGACACUGAGGCUCGAAAGUGUGGGGAUCAAACAGGAUUAGAUACCCGUGUAGUC
rnacentral:rRNA from 1 species